rnacentral:lncRNA from 1 species
AAAGGAUCAGAGAAUGAAUCUAGUACUGAAAGCAUAAACUACAGCUAGCUAGCACUGCAGUGCAUACAAUGUGGUAAAUAGUUGACUCAAAGAGAGAGAAAAACCAUAAUUUAACAGUUUUGAACAAAUACAUUUCUUCCAAAAUGAAGGAGAAGCAAGAGAGAGAUAGUGAGCGAGAGAUCAUUUUUUUCAUUUUCACUUACUUAGCUAGCAAAUGCAGCUAGCUAGUUUAGCCUACUCAAACACCCUGCUCAAACAGAGGGAUGCUAUGUUAGCUAACUGGCUAUGACUAUCCAACAUAACAAUGGAACUCUUCCAAGUCAAGCUGACCACAUCAUGGCAAUCUGGUGCUCCACGCCACAGUCGAUGACCUUGCACGCAACCAUUGGUGGAUGCAAGCAACGUCUGAGCAGGGGCACACCACCAAAACCUCUUCACAGAGGUGAAUUUGAGGAGGAAAUCUGAAGGAACAGAUGAGGAUGGAUCGGCCACACCCUUUGAACAUCACCACCCUCCAACAUCACCAAGCCAGCUCUAUCCUGGAACUCUUUAAGGUAAUCGGAAGCACCUUAAUAAGCCCACAAAACACCUAGAGGCAGGAGCUUAAAGCAGACACCAAAAGAUCCGGCAUGGGGUGGAACGAGAUUGAAAAGACUGGUCAGAACAGACUGAUGGAGAGGAGUCGUCGAGUCCCUUGGGAGCUACUGGCCUUAAUAAGUCAGUAAGUAAAUACAUUUGGACUUUCACUGAGGCUUUUGGAUUAUGACAGGGAUGCUUCGACAAGAGACCAGAUUCCAAAUUCCUGCUGAUCAGCUUUGAGUGAUGUACAGUUUCCCAGAUGUGAGCUAACCCCUUGACCAAUAUUAUUGCAGAAGACAGGGUUUUUCAUCUGCAAAUGGGAUUUUACCGCUGUCUGUCAAAUUACUACUAGACUUCCUCUACUGAUACAUUUUUGGGAUUCUGGCAGCCAUAGGCUCAGAGGCUAACCAGAUGAAAAUGGAAGUGGUGUAAUAAGGGUGUUUGCUAGACCAGAUACUCCUUGGCCUACAUUGGGUACACUUUUGAUAUGCUGUAUACCCCACAGAGAUCCUAUAUGUAUUCUAUGAUGUGCCAACUUUUUAAGAUAUUUAUAUACCAGCUGGGUUACCCACUUUUUGACCCAGGUUCUGGUUAUAAUGAUGUCAUUGCAACCAGUUUUGCCUGCUGGGUAGACCUCCUGCUGGGUAGAUAUUUGGGCUGCUUUCCUUCGCUUUUAAAGGCAGGACAGCUGUUCAGGAUCUCACUCGAAGCUGGCACAGAUGUAGCAGCACCACAAUCAGAAGAUAUUGGAGAUGAGUCACUUUCACCGUAUGACCUCAGUUGGUCAAAUUUUGGUUUGUUUGCUAUUCUUGUGGGGUCUUCUGGUUAACUGUAUAACUGCUGUCCUCCCUACACAGUUUAUACCAAAAGUGAAUUUUCAAACCUGAGCCAAUGAUAAACCUCUGAUCCUUGAUGUGUGGCACAUGGUCAAUUGAUUUCAGCCAUAUGGCUGGGGACAUUUCAUAUCCCCAUCACUAAGAACAGUACAGUGAUUUGACAGAACUGGCAGGUGAUAGCUGAGUUAAAAUUGAUGCUGACAACGUGGAAUAAGUGAGGGAACUGCAGUGUGGAAAUGAGUCUGACUGUUUCAAUCAGUAGUGUGGAUGAUCAGUGUUAUAACAUGAUUUAAAUGUAAAGGCAAUUUCAAUUGUUCUACAAUGCAGAUCUUCGGCGCUACGGAUUGAAUCCAGACGCUAAGGUUGUAUUGAUAGGCAGCCUACCUGGGGAAGCUGUCUUUGAGCCUCUUAGGCUGUGUUUACACAGCCAGCUCAAUUCUGAUAUUUUUUUCUGCACUUUUGCCAAUAAUUGGGCGAAAGAUCAGAAUUGGGCUGCGUAUGUAAACGCAGCCAGAGAGAGACAAAGAGAGAGGAUGUGAUGUGAUUGAACGAGGGUCAGUGGAGGAAAAAGCACCCAAUUUUCCUACUUGAGUGAAAGUGAAGAAUCCUUAAAUACGUCCACCGAGACACACACCACACACACACCUGUCUGUCCGAUCCUAUACUUCUCAGUUCAGCACCAUUAAUUAAAACAGAUAUUAGCUGUCAACAUGUAGGUCUGAAAGGCUCAUCGCUGGGUAAAUCAGACAGGGAGAGAGAGAGAGAGAGAGAUGGAAAGUGAAUGUAAUGAGCCUUACAAGAUGCAGUGCUGUAAAGGCUAUGCAUUAUAGAAGCCUCCAUCACCUCUGUCUGUCUGUAUUUCUGCAGCUUAACCACCCAGCUACAGUACCUCAGAUCUACAAGAUGUAAUUUAGCACCUUGGUCACAUUUUAUUAUGAAGAAAAACUAGCCUGUCAGCCAUGCAUUCAUUGGCAAAAGCAGCGCCUGUUGUUUGCUAUUGUUUUCAAUAAUUUGUACAAAUUGAGCAUGAUGCUAUUUUGAUUGCGGGACAAUGGGGUAUUCUUUGAGCCAACAAUGAAAUACGUUUUCAAAGGCAGUCACACAUCUCUGCCAGUUCUGGCCACCUGGGACAUUUUGUGGAGAGACUUUUUUGAAGCAAAUCAGAAAGAAAUAUAUAAUAGAUAUACACUGAGUGUACGAAACAUUAAGAACACCUGCUCUUUCCAUGUCAUAGACUGACCAGGUGAAUCCAGGUGAAAGCUAUGACCCCUUAUUGAUGUCACUUGUUAAAUCCACUUCAAUCAGUGUAGAUGAAGGGGAGGAGACAAGUUAAACAAUUAUUUUUAAUGCUUGAGACAGUUGAGACAUGGAUCGUGUAUGUGACAAGACAAAAUAAUUAAGUGCCUUUGAAUGGGGUAUGGUAGAAUGUGCCAGGCACACCGUUUUGUGUCAAGAACUGCAACGCUGCUGGGUUUUCCAUGCUCAAUAGUUUCCUGUGUGUAUCAAGAAUGGUCCACUUCCCAAAUGACAUCCAGCCAACUUGACACAACUGUGGGAAGCAUUGGAGUCAACAUGGGCAAGCAUCCCUGUGGAACGCUUUCAAAACCUUGCAGAGUCCAUUCCCCGACAAAUUGAGGCUGUUCUAAGGGUGCAACUCAAUAUUAGGAAAGUGUUCCCUUAUGUUUGGUAUACUCAGUAUACACAACCCAGCUAGCACAUUUGGUUCCUUGGAAGUUGUGGGAACAUACGUUUUUGGUUACAGGGAGGUUCUGAGAUCGUUUUACAAUUGUUCCCUGAACAUUUUUCUGUAAGGUUUUAUUAGCUUUCUGAGAAUGGGAAUUAUAGGUUAUUUAGAUUUGUUUUAAUAACUUCCUUAACUUUCACUGAAUGUUUCAAUAAGACUUUUAAAAACACUACUAGCUUAGUUUGUGUUAACUGUUUUGAACUCCAAGCACAGAUAGGACACAUGGAAAAUGUAUUUGCUUAGGCAUUAAUCAUGAAAACACAUUUCUGUGAUCUUCUGCUUUUUAUCUAUGGAAUUAGUCCACUGCGCCAUCAGGAUGGAGCUAGCGCCACCAGGAUGGAGUUAGAAUGCCAUGUUUUUUUAACAUACAAAGCUGUUAAUUUUAGUCUAUUAAAACAGACCCCAUUUCAAAGGAAAAAAGCACUCAUUAAGAUCAGGUGUGGUCAAUUAGUAGGCACGGCAAACACACCUGAAUACACUUAACAAGAUAAGAGGCUAGAAAGAGGUUUGUUGACGCUGAGAAUGGAAUGUAUGUUUUUCAAUAACAUUCUUAGAACGUUCUUUGAACGUUACACAUUUUUUGUGUGUUUUUUUAUGGAAAGUUUUCUUAAUGUUCUGAGAACAUGACUUUACAGUUUUUCCCAAUUGUUUACACACUAAAAUUGGAACUUGAAACGCAAUCACCGAAACCUGAAACUCAUGUAUCAAAUCCUUAAACCAAGUCUGCAAAAUUGCAAGCACAAUUCUUACUUUACAUUCAGUUUCAAUUCUAUAUCACACUUUUUGCAAAACACUACACAGAGUUCUCUACAUUAGGCACAACAUUCAAACUUAAAAUCUCUUUAGUCCCUUUGGAAAGCAACGCCAAUCACAAUGACACGCGCUGUACACCAAUUGGCAACACCCACUCCUCACAGGUGUAAACAUUAGUUGCUGAGUUGUUCACUUAGAAAUCAGAGCUUUAGCACUAUAAAAGGCCAUGAGCGCCUCCUGUUUUGGAGGAAAAUGGAAGUCAAUGGUGAAGCAAGAGCUAGAGGUGAAGGAGGAUGAGGACGGACAGUUGUCUCAGAUGAGAUUAGGGUCACAUUGGUUGACCAUGUGCUCAACCAUAUAUUGAGUAUGAGGGAGGCAGGGCAGAGAGUUCAGCCCAAACUGAGCCGCUACACGGUUGCAUCUAUCAUCCGUACAUUCAGAAAUGAAAACCUGUAAGUUACCUACCAUCUACACUAUGCUCUUUAUGUAUGUAUACUGUAAUCUGACAUAUCAGUAGGCCUAUGUUACACAGUGAUUGUUGGCCAGUAAUGUAAUUUCAUAUUGAAAGAAAAUAGAUUAUUUUAGCUUACUGUAACCAAUCAUAUUUGUGGAUCUUCUGAACUGAGUCGGCCAGACCAUGGUGGAAGACACCGGGUGUUCACACCAGAACAGGAGACCGCUAUUGUGAACAUGGUGGUGGCAAACCAUACCAUUAGACUAUGAGAAAUCCAGAACCACAUCAUUGCAGACAACACAAUAUUCAAUAACAUUCACCAGGCUUGUCUACAUUGGACCGUGUAUUACAGUGCAACUGAAUCCGGAUGAAACAGGUCUACAGGGUGCCAUUUGAGCAAAACUCAGAUGAGGUUAAAUAACAGCGCUAUGAAUAUGUGCAAAUAAGUACUAUACUGUGAAUUUACUAUCAUAUCAGCACUGUAUAGACACUUUACAGUACUGUAAUCCAGUGUAUUGUGCCUCACCAUAUUGACUGCUCUCUGUCUAUGUCACAUUGUUUGUCUGUUUCAGAGUCUUGGAGCUGGAUGCUGCUGCAAUUCAGCACGUUUAUAUUUACAUUGAGGCUGACUUCAACCUAGCCAAAAGAAGGGUAUGGGGACGGAGCAUUAUUGGCCAGCGUGCCUUUGUGAAUGUCCCUGGACAGCGUGGCGGGAAUAUCACCAUGUGCGCAGCAGUUAGCCAGCAAGGCAUCCUCCAUCACCAUGCCAACCUUGGUCCCUACAACACCGCCCUUCUCAUCACGUUCCUGGACACGUUACAUGGCAUCCUCAUUCCAGCCGAGCAGAGGGGUGGACCAGAGCAGCCCAGGUAUGUUGUCAUCUGGGACAACGUGAGUUUCCACUGGGCUGCUCUGGUCCGCAACUGGUUCAUCGACCACCCACAAUUUAUUGUUCUAUACCUCCCACCAUAUUCACCAUUCCUAAACCCAAUUGAAGAGUUGCAUGGCGAUGGCAGGUGUAUGACCGCUAUUCCCUCGCCUGGAGAAGAGGCAUGCGUGCAAUGGAGGAUGCAUGUGAUGAAGUUGAUGUGGGGGCUUUCGGCAGCUGGAUCCGUCACUCCAGAAGAUUCUUUCCCCACUGUUUAGCCAGGGAGAACAUCGCUUGUGAUGUAGAUGAGGUGCUGUGGUCAGACCAAAAUAGAGGCAGGAUGCUGCCUAAUGUCUUUAAUUACAUUUCGCAUGUGUUUGUCUUUUUCUGUUUAGAGUUUUGAAAGAAUGAGCCACUUAAAAAAAUAUAUAUAUAUUGUACAGAAAACCCUUCAUCUUACUCAAUGUUUCUCCUGUUGGGUAUGAAAGUGUUACAUACAAAACACAAGUGUUCAAAAAUACUGCAUUUUGGAAAUAAAUGUUUGUUACGGUAUUGUGUUUGUUGGGAUAUUUAUAGUGUUUUGUGUUGAGCACAUCAGUGUGUUGUUGGUAGACAGAUCUAUUCAUAUGACGCGUCAUUUUGAUACAAAAAAAAAAACAUUUGGGAAAGAAGUUUUGAAUGCAGUGUUUGCUUUUGCUAGAGUUUUGGGGAAAAUGGGCCAAAGAUUCAGCAAACGUGUGUAAACAAUUGAACUAUAAAUUGUUUUCUGCAGGUUUCAUGCUUCCAUCUGAGAACAUUCCCAAUGUCAAACCAGUCAGAAGGUUCCUAGAACAUUCUCAAAACCUAAAUUAAAUGUAACCAUGCUUGACCUUUUAGGAAACAUUCUGUUAGAGUAAUGACAUACCAAGAAAAUAACAUUUAUCAAGUUCCUUAAAUGUGCUGAGAAUUUUCCAAAGCCAAACAACUUUUCUGCAUCAUUCCCAGAACAUUGUGGGAAGGUUGUAUGUGUAACAAUGUGCGCUGAGAGUUGGGAAGCUAGUUCAGGGAGUGAGUGUUUCAAUAAACAGAACAUAAUACAAAACAAGAAACACUAACAGCACACAGACAUGAAACACCGCCUCGGGAAGGAACCAAGGAAAUCAGGGAGGUGAUGGAGUCCAGGUGAGUCUGACGCGCAGGUGCACCUGACGAUGGUGACAGCAGCCUGGUGACCUAGAAGCCGGAGAGGGAGCACACAUGACAGUACCCCCUUCCCGACAUGCCGAAUAAAAAUGACGAUCCCGGGGAUCAGGAGCGGACCGGUCACCUCUGCUAAGGCGCGGGAACCUGUCAAUCUGGCUGAGGUGUGGGAGCAUGGCGACCUAGAGCGCUGGAGAGGGCACACGUG